GAUGAACGCUGGCGGCGUGCCUAAUACAUGCAAGUCGAACGGACAGACAAUGCGCUUGCUCCUCUAACGUUAGCGGCGGACGGGUGAGUAACACGUGUAUCACCUACCUAUAUUACUGGUAUAACUUCGGAAAACCGGAUAUAAUACCGUAGCAUAUCUUGAACCACGGUGUGCAAUGGAUAGUUACGGUUUUUGUGGCUGUACUAGCUGGUUCCGGGCUUGAUUAUCUAGUUGUUAAGGUAACGGCCUACAAAGGCAACGAUGCGUAGCCGAGCUGAGAGGCUGAUAGGCCACACUGGAACUGAGACACGGUCAAGACUACUACGGGAGGCAGCAGUAGGGAAUCUUCGGCAAUGGGCGAAAGCAUGACGGAGCAACGCCGCGUGAGUGAUGAAGGCCUUCGGAUCGUAAAGCUCUGUUAUUAGGGAAGAACAGCUGUGGAAGUAAAUAUGGACGUAUUGACGGUAACUAAUCAGAAAGCACCGGCUAACUACGUG
rnacentral:rRNA from 1 species